rnacentral:lncRNA from 1 species
ACACCCACACAGCGCUUCCUAAAGGCAGGGACAGGAGCUGGCCUCCCUCGCCUGCUGGCAUGGGGCUGGACACAGGAGGAAGUGGCGUGGGGGCUGCCUGAGGGGAGUGAGGCGGCAGGAUAGCUUCCCCAGCAGGUCUCUGGCUCAGGUCCAGGUAUCUCCUCCUCCCCAUACCUCUGCCUCUCGCCUCCGCUCAGAAAAGCAGGUGCCCUUAAGAGCCAUCUCCACCCCCAUGUAAACUGCACACAGGAAGGGAGAGGCCACUCCGACUGCUCUGAGGUCCAGGUGGCCCUCGCCCCGGCCCACCCGCGCCUCCCAGGCCCAGCCUCACCUGCUGCCGAGAGAGGACAGUGAUCCCCCAAAAGCCGGAGGUGGAGGAGGAGGAGGAAGAGGAGGAAGGAGCUGGAGGAGCCGGGGACUCGCCCGCUGAAGAUGCUCUUGUCAAGACAAUGAAUGAGAAGCAGCCGUGCGCCCGCCUCCGGGGUGGCCGCGCCCCUUGGGGCGGAGCUCUUCCAGGCCCGCCCUGCGCUCCCGGGCUCCCGCUGCGGCCGCCUCUCUCCCCGGCCCCUGCCCGUGCACCACGUUGGUCCCCAACCAUAGCGCAGGCUGCCAUCCCGGCUCCGGGAAGCGAAUCUAAACUUCUUUUUAAAAUGUCAAAACGCAA